UACGUAGGCAGCGAGCGUUGUUCGGAGUUACUGGGCGUAAAGGGCGCGCAGGCGGCUGCUCAAGUCAGGCGUGAAAGUCCUGGGCUCAACCUGGGAACUGCGCUUGAUACGGCAGAGCUAGAGGAUGGAAGAGGCUCGCGGAAUUCCCAGUGUAGAGGUGAAAUUCGUAGAUAUUGGGAAGAACACCGGUGGCGAAGGCGGCGAGCUGGUCCAUUACUGACGCUGAGGCGCGACAGCGUGGGGAGCAAACAGG
rnacentral:rRNA from 1 species